rnacentral:rRNA from 1 species
AGGACGAACGCUGGCGGCGUGCUUAACACAUGCAAGUCGAGCGGAAAGGCCCUUCGGGGUACUCGAGCGGCGAACGGGUGAGUAACACGUGAGUAAUCUGCCCUUCACUCUGGGAUAGCCACCGGAAACGGUGAUUAAUACCGGAUAUGACCACGUACUGCAUGGUGUGUGGUGGAAACUUUUUGGGGUGGGGAUGUGCUCGCGGCCUAUCAGCUUGUUGGUGGGUAAUGGCCUACCAAGGCUUCGACGGGUAGCCGGCCUGAGAGGUGACCGGCCACACUGGGACUGAGACACGGCCCAGACUCCUACGGGAGGCAGCAGUGGGGAAUAUUGGACAAUGGGCGGAAGCCUGAUCCAGGCAACGCCGACGGUGAGGAUGGACGGCCUUCGGUUGUAACCUCUUUCAGCAUCGACGAAGCGAA